GCAAAGAUAUUUUCGUCGGGGCAAACCUAAUCCGGCCAAUUUUGUCGGCAUAGAUCUUUGCCGACGAAAUUUCGUCGGGACAAGUGUUCAUGUGUUUUUUUUUUUGAAAAGUAUAAAUUUUAAAAAUAUAAAAUUAUACUAAAAUAUUGUAUAGUGGCCUAUUAAUAUCUACUUUGGAUAUGUUUAAACUAGCAAAUUAAAAUCUAUAAAGUACCAAGCUAAUGCGACUUGGAGGGUCCUUCUUUCUUUUAUUUAUUUAUUUAUUAAAUACUAUAUUUACAUAGUAUAGCCGGGCGGCUAUACUUUUUUGGGACACGUGGCGCCUAAUCGCUGGAGGCUCCUUUUUUUUUAAACCCAAAAACAGUACAGCCGCACGGCUAUACUCUGUGUUUUUUUAAAAAGUCGACACGUGGCGUCUUUUUAUUUUACAAAUAGUAUAGCCGCACGGCUAUACUCAGUUUUUACAUUUUUUUUUUUAAUUUUAAUUUUAAUUUUUUUUUUAAAUAUAAAUUUUAAUGAAAAGGCAGGGUACACCUUUUAAGUAGCAUGGCAUGUAUUUCACUUUUUUAAUUAACUUCAUGAAUUAUAUUACUUAAUGAAUAGUAAUUCAAUUUGUCUUCUUCUCCUUUAUUACUAAUCAAAGUAAUUAAAAAAGUGAAAUACAUGCCAUGCUACUUAAAGGGUGUACCCUACCUUUUCAUUAAAAUUUAUUUUAAAAAAAAAAAAAAAAAAAAAAAUUUUAAAAAAAUUAAAUUACUAUUCAUUAAGUAAUAUAAUUCAUGAAGUUAAUUAAAAUAUUUAAUCAUAAUCAGUCAUUAAAUAAAUAAUAAUUAAAAUAUAAUUGCUAAUUCAGCUAAUUAAAUCUCCAAAUAUAUUAUGUAGUUACUAAAAAUAAAAUUUUUGAAAAUUUAUUAACCUAAACAUCCUAAGUUUAUACUUAUUUUUUAAAAAUUAGACCUCUCCCGAC
rnacentral:lncRNA from 1 species